ACCCAAUCCAAGUCCACCCUAGCCAAUCAUCAUUAGCAUUACAAAGCACACAAUGCAGACAAUGUAUUCUCAACCAAUAACUGUAAAUGUGGCAUUUUAGCAUCAUCAUUGUCUGCUUUAAAUUAGCACUGAGAACCAUCGCCCAGAUUGAAUACAUUCGAAUGCAUACUCGUUAUUGGACUGCAAAAUAGCCAAUUAAAUUCCUCCGUUGUGUGGGGUAAGUAAGCACAGACACACACUUAUGCAAACACAUGCACACACGCAAGCACACACACACACCCAUAACCCUGCUAGGAGUGAUUGUAACUUUGAAAACCUGGAUAACUGUCGCACAAUACUGUCAAAAGUCAUAAGUCAAAAUACUCUACAAAGAUGAAGCGUAAGCACAUGGCAUAUACGCUUGGGCUUCUCCUAUCUUUAAAUCUAUGAAUGUUAAUUUCAUUAUUCAUCAGCAUUCCUCUUUUCUACUUCCAUACGUUUGCUGUUCUAUUACUAUAGAUUCAGGCAUAACACAGAGGUCAAGGUGUAAUAACACAGAGGUAAAGCUGUUAUAACACAGAGGAAAAUGUGUUACAAUAAAUUAUACAUGUAAGAUAAAUGUGUUAUAACACAAAGGUAAAAGUGUUAUAACAUGGAGGUAAAGGUGAUAUAACAGAGAGAUAAAUGUGUUAUAACGCAUAGGAAAAUGUGUUAUAACACAUUGGUAAAGGUGUUAUAACAAAGAGGUAAAUGUGUUAUAACAUAGAGGUACAUGUGUUAUAACGUAGAGGUAAAGGUGUUAUAACACAGAGCUAACUUUGUUAUGACACAGAGUUAAAGGUGUUAUAACACAGAGAUACAUGUGUUAUAACACAAAUGAAAAUAUUUUAUAACAGAGGUAAAGGUGUUAUAACACAGAGAUACAUGUGUUAUAACACAGAGGUUAAUGUUUUAUGACACAGAGGUAAAGGUGUUAUAACACAGAGGUAAAGGUGUUAUAACACAGAGGUAAAGGUGUUAUAACACAGAGGUAAAGGUGUUAUAACACAGAGGUUAAUGUUUUAUGACGCAGAGAUAAAUGUGUUAUAAGACAGAGUAAAAGGUUUUAGACGACAGAGAUAAAUGUGUUAUAACAUAGAGGAAAAUGUGAUAUAACACAGAGGGAAAGGUGUUAUAACAGUGAUAAAGGUGUUACAACACAGAGGUACAUUUGUUAUAAUACAGAGAUAAAUGUGUUAUAACACAUAGGUAAAAGUGCUAUAACUCCUAAAUAAAGGUUCUUUAACUCAGAGAUAAAGGUUCUAUAACUCAGAUGUAAAGGUGUUAUGACACAGAGGUAAAGGUGUUAUAACACAGAGGUAAAGGUGUUAUAACACAGAGGUAUAGAACAACAGUAAUGGUGGAACAUGAACCGAUAAACAAAGCCAGUGAUUUAUAUGCUCUUUGAGUUUAGUCCCCCUCAACUUCUCUGUUCUCUCCUCAGGAUGAAGAAGAAUAAAGCCUGUUUUGCAGCUUUACCGCCACGUUAAUCAUCUCUUGUUGAAACAUUUAAAUACACCCACAUUACAGUUGAAACACAACACCAGUCGAAGCGAAUACCUUUGUACCAGUAUACCACAGAAUCUGUCAUGACAGUUUCAAGCGCAAUACGUGGAAUGUAGUUUGUUAACCAAACCCACCCUUUUGGGAAUUUACAAGUCUCUUGUUUUUCAGACGAGACCACUGUCAUUGCCCUGAAUGCCACCAUAUGACAAAGUUUGGCAAGAGAGUUUGACAGUUAUGAAUAAGACAUAUAAUUGGCAGCCUUUUAGCAGCCUGAAAGCUGUGGGGUUAAGACAGUUUGUCUUUUUAACCCGAGGCUUAGCAUGGAUAAAGUGAUAACAUAAGCCUGGCUGGAGAGAUAAAGUAGAACAGUAGACCUCUUGGUUGGACACUUCCCAUUUGCUGAUGUUUUGAUCAUGGCUCCUGCACUCUGUUGAGGUAAACUAGACAUCUACUGUUGGGUCUCAGGUCAAUGACCUAUAAGCAAUGGUACUUUUCUGAUCGUCUAAUUCUAAAUGUACAGUGUAUAAAAUCUUUAGAUAUGCUGUACCUCAAAUUGGUUCAUUUCAAAAAGAGAGUAUGACGAAUUUGAGAGGAUCCGAGCAUGGCUGGGGAGAUUUGGACAGUCCAGUCUUUCUUAAUCCACAGAGAAGAUCACUGUUAUAAACCCUGCAUAAAAUCAGGAGACAAUGCUAGGUUGUUUUCUGUGUUGGCUUGAUUUUCCCUUUUUUUCAAGUCAAACUGAAGACCAGAGAGCAGCCAGCUAGUAAAGCCUCCCCUUCCCCAGCCCAGGCCCCUCAAAACAAGCCUCUUUCUGUUGGGAAUCUCCAUGGAAACCAAGCAACUAACUUGAGGAGGGAUAUAAAACCUGCUCUUUGAGGGACUGAAGGAACACCUGCCACCUCUACAGAUGGGGGUCAAAAUAGACUGACACACUGCCACCUCAUAAUGAACAGAGGGUUGUGUAACAUUUAAAUGAGUCCCCGUCCCGAACAUCUGCUCAUCGUCAAUUACUUAUUCACUGAUAACUCCUAUUUUAUCUGUUAAAACAGACCCAAUCUUUACUGGAAAUCACUUGAUGCAAUAGUGUAGUCAUUUAUGAGUAUUGGUUCAGAUUGCAGAUUGGUUAAAAUGACAGUAAUAACUGAUAUGGACUGUUCAUCAUUCUAAGAUUGAAGAUGUUAGGUGCGUAAUUGAUUUGGGAAUCUGCAUCACAUCUUGAAGUCCGAGAGCUCUGAAGGUUUUGAAAAUAAGAUAUUUGGUUGUGUGGCCGUUAGUUUGUACAUAACAUGGGUUCCAUUGAAAUCCAGCAACUGCAUGUUUAUGGAAGCGACACCACACUAUCCCCUGGCUGUUACUGUCAAAGCAAAAAGCUGCUGUUGGACAUACAUAGCCUGAACAACCUUAAUUAACACCUGCAGAAUAGCCCCGCGGUUGUUAUUUUACUGCUGCUCUUUCAUUGUUACUGUUUUUUAAUUGGUUAAGGGCUUGUCAGUAAGCAUUUCACUGUGAUGUCUACACCUGUUGUAUUCGGUGUAUGUGACAAAUAACAUCUGAUUUGAGAACCACAACAUAAAUAAAAGAAAAGUACUGUUAACCACACCAACAUUACUGGGAUUGUUAGCCACUCCGUCUUUUUGUAACCUUGCUUUUUAGGGCUAAUUGCCCUGACUUUCCAGAGUUCAGGGGUCAAACAGUUUGUCAACAAGCAUUAGGGCAGAAAUUCAAUCAACUGUUCAGCUUUUGCGAUUCAAAGGAAUCUCCUUCAAGUGUUACAAUGACUAUAAACAAAUCUUGUCCACCACCACUAUCACUAUCAAUACAGUGAGUCCCUCACAUUUCACCUAUUGUAUUUCCGCUUACCCUCACCCAUUCACACCCCAAACAUCAAAGGCCCUAUCAACAAGAACAAGUGGCAUGCAGGGGUCAUCCAUCCAGCCACCCAGCCUCAUUUUAGCCUACACUGCCGGAGGCAAUAUGCUCUGGGAUGCAUCCCAAAUGCUACCCUAUUCCCUUUAAAGUGCACUAUAUUAAUUUCACCAGGGGCCAAAGGGAUCUAUAUAGAGCAUAGGGUACCAGUCUUCCAUGUUCCUCCCCAGCCCUCCCCACUCCUCACAACUCCAUUCAUGUGUGAAAGUGACGGCUGC
ensembl:lncRNA